UUAUAAUUUAUUAAAAAUAAUUAUAAAAUUUAUAGUUAAAGUAAUUUAUAGUGAAAUAAUAUUAUUUAUAAUAGUUAAUUAGUAUUGUGAAAUAAUAUUGAAAUAUUUUGAAAAAUUCUUAUUAGAAAAUAAAAUUUGAUUUAUUGUACCUUGUGUAUCAGGGAUUAUUAAUUAAAAAAUAAAUAAUUUAUUUUUCUCGAUUUUAAAAGAUUUAAUAAUAUAUAAUAGUUACUGUAGAAUAAUUAUUAUAAAUAUAUUAUUAGAAAUGAAAUGUUAUUCGUUUUUAAAGGUAUCUAGUUUUUUAAGAAAUAAAUUUAAUUUAAUAAUUGUGUUAUAAUAUAUUAUUUUAAAAAUAUAUUAUAAUGUAAUUAAAGUAUUUUAUGGGAUAAGCUAUAAAAUAAAUUAUUAAAAAUUUAUAAUUUAAGUUAAAUAUAUAGGGUUAAAAAUAUCCAUUAUUAAUAAAAAUGUUAUAAUUUAUUUAAUUAAAAUAAUUAUUUAUAUAAAUUUUAAAUUAUUUAUUAAAAUAUUAAUUUUAAUUUUAAUAAUUAAAUAAUAAUGAUAAUAUUAGUAUAUAAAUUUGUAAAAUAAAUUAUAAAUAAUAUAUUUAUUUAAAUAAUUCGGCAAAUAUAAUAUCCGCCUGUUUAUCAAAAACAUGUCUUUUUGUAUUUUAUUUAAAGUCUGACCUGCCCAUUGAAUUAUUUUAAAAGGCCGCAGUAUAUUAACUGUGCAAAGGUAGCAUAAUCAUUAGUCUUUUAAUUGGAGGCUCGUAUGAAUGGUUGAACGAGAUAUUUACUGUUUCAAAUAAAAUUAAGUAGAAUUUUAUUUUUUAGUUAAAAAGCUAAAAUAUAAUUAAAAGACGAGAAGACCCUAUAGAUCUUUAUAAAUUUGUUUAUUUUAUUAAUUUAGAAGUAUUUAAAUUUAAUAAUAUAAUUUAUUUUGUUGGGGUGACAAUGAAAUUUAACAAACUUUUAUAUAUUAUUACAUAAAUUAAUGAAUUAUUGAUCCAUUAUAAUGAUUAAAAAUUUAAGUUACCUUAGGGAUAACAGCGUAAUAUUUUUAGAGAGUUCAUAUCGAUAAAAAUGAUUGCGACCUCGAUGUUGGAUUAAGAGAUAGGCUUGGGUGUAGAAGUUCAAGUUUUUGGUCUGUUCGACCAUUAAAUUCUUACAUGAUCUGAGUUCAAACCGGCGUAAGCCAGGUUGGUUUCUAUCUUUAAUGAAUUAAUUUAUUUUAGUACGAAAGGACCAAAUAAAUAAAAUAUUAAUUUUUAUAUAUUGAAUAUUAUUAAUUU
rnacentral:rRNA from 1 species